rnacentral:tRNA from 1 species
GCGGAAUUCGUAUAACGGCUAUUACUUCUGCCUUCCAAGCAGAAGACGUGGGUUCGACUCCCACAUUCCGCU